GGAAGGGUACGGCUCCGUGGUAGAGCGCAUGCCUAGCAUGCAUGAGGUCCUGGGUUCAGCUCCCAGUACCUCCA
rnacentral:tRNA from 1 species